rnacentral:rRNA from 1 species
UACGUAAGUCCCGAGCGUUGUCCGGAAUCAUUGGGCGUAAAGGGUACGUAGGCGGAUAAGUAAGUUAGAAGUGAAAUCCUAUAGCUCAACUAUAGAAAGCUUUUAAAACUGCUCAUCUUGAGGUAUGGAAGGGAAAGUGGAAUUCCUAGUGUAGCGGUGAAAUGCGUAGAUAUUGAGAAGAACACCAGUGGCGAAGGCGGCUUUCUGGACUGUAACUGACACUGAGGCACGAAAGCGUGGGGAGCAAACAGG